rnacentral:rRNA from 1 species
AUAUCAAUAAGCGGAGGAAAAGAAACUAACAAGGAUUCCCCUAGUAACUGCGAGUGAAGCGGGAAAAGCUCAAAUUUAAAAUCUGAGGGUCUUACGGCCUUCCGAGUUGUAAUCUAGAGAAGUGCUAUCCGCGCUGGACCGUGUACAAGUCUCCUGGAACGGAGCGUCAUAGAGGGUGAGAAUCCCGUCUUUGACACGGACUACCAGGGCUUUUGUGAUGCGCUCUCAAAGAGUCGAGUUGUUUGGGAAUGCAGCUCUAAAUGGGUGGUAAAUUCCAUCUAAAGCUAAAUAUUGGCGAGAGACCGAUAGCGAACAAGUACCGUGAGGGAAAGAUGAAAAGAACUUUGGAAAGAGAGUUAAACAGUACGUGAAAUUGUUGAAAGGGAAACGCUUGAAGUCAGUCGCGUUGGCCAGGAAUCAACCUUGCUUUUGCUUGGCGUACUUUCUGGUUAACGGGUCAGCAUCAAUUUUGAUCGGUGGAUAAAGAUCAGGGGAAUGUGGCAUCUUCGGAUGUGUUAUAGCCUCUGGUCGCAUACAUCGGUUGGGAUUGAGGAACUCAGCACGCCGCAAGGCCGGGUUUUUACCACGUACGUGCUUAGGAUGCUGGCAUAAUGGCUUUAAUCGA